rnacentral:rRNA from 1 species
CCCUUAGAUGUCCGGGGCCGCACGCGCGCUACACUGAAGGAAUCAGCGUGGCUUUCUCCCUGACCCGAAAGGGUUGGGAAACCCGUUGAAUCUCCUUCGUGAUAGGGAUUGGGGCUUGAAAUUGUUCCCCAUGAACGAGGAAUUCCCAGUAAGCGCGAGUCAUAAGCUCGCGUUGAUUACGUCCCUGCCCUUUGUACACACCGCCCGUCGCUACUACCGAUUGAACGGUUUAGUGAGGGCCUCGGAUUGGUCUCGGCCCGCUCUUUACCGGGCGGCGCCGUUGGUCGAGAAGACGCUCGAACAUGAUCGUUUAGAGGAAGUAAAAGUCGUAACA